rnacentral:rRNA from 1 species
UACGAAGGGGGCUAGCGUUGCUCGGAAUUACUGGGCGUAAAGCGCACGUAGGCGGCUUUCUAAGUCGGGGGUGAAAUCCUGGAGCUCAACUCCAGAACUGCCUUCGAUACUGGAGAGCUCGAGUCCGGGAGAGGUGAGUGGAACUGCGAGUGUAGAGGUGAAAUUCGUAGAUAUUCGCAAGAACACCAGUGGCGAAGGCGGCUCACUGGACCGAUACUGACGCUGAGGCACGAAAGCGUGGGGAGCAAACAGG